rnacentral:snRNA from 1 species
GCACAAUUGGUCAUCGCGCU